UCUUAUUGUUUCCUGUUCCUGUAGUGCUCUCUGCUUCUCUCUUUCUCUCUCAUGCUGGAAGCAGUAGCUCUGAGGAUUUAAAACUAUCUGCGACACGCCUAAGUUUCUCUACAUGAAAGGCCUAUACUUCUCAGGGUCUAAAGAGUGUCGGAAAUGGCUGGGGUGGAGACCCGGCCAGGAUGCCCAGGAAGACCGGAAGAGGGCCUAUGCUCACCUCAGACCACGUGGGGGCGACACCCUGGUUCCUUUGGGGGCCACGGGUACAAAGCUUUGAAGCU